GUUCCGUACUUAUUUACUAAUUAUAAUAUAUUAUUCUGGAUUUGAAUUCCUACACAAAUUUGAAUUAGAAUUUUUAAAUGUCUAGAUAAAAUAAAAUAAAAAGAUAGAAUAGUAGACCAAGGUUUUAAAAAUCCCUUAUCCAUAUCUUAGUGGUGUGAAACUUAGUUGUGAACCUAACCUCGUAUUAUGGAAUUUAUUCAAUCAAAAAUUAUUUCAAUAUAAAUUUAAACAUUUUUAUACAUAUAAAAACAUUUUUAAGUUCUGGUAAUAUUUAUUGGGUGUGUGUAAAACAAAAACAAUUAAUAAACCUAUAGGUAGCAUCAUAACUAAUCACUAAUCAGUUAGAAAAAGAAAUUGUAUGUUU